GUGCCAGCCGCCGCGGUAAUACGUAGGGUGCAAGCGUUAAUCGGAAUUACUGGGCGUAAAGCGUGCGCAGGCGGUUGUGCAAGACAGAUGUGAAAUCCCCGGGCUUAACCUGGGAACUGCAUUUGUGACUGCACGGCUAGAGUGUGUCAGAGGGGGGUAGAAUUCCACGUGUAGCAGUGAAAUGCGUAGAUAUGUGGAGGAAUACCGAUGGCAAAGGCAGCCCCCUGGGAUAACACUGACGCUCAUGCACGAAAGCGUGGGGAGCAAACAGGAUUAGAUACCCGGGUAGUCC
rnacentral:rRNA from 1 species